UACGUAGGGCGCGAGCGUUGUCCGGAAUUAUUGGGCGUAAAGAGCGCGCAGGCGGUUUGAGAAGUCAGAUGUGAAAGAGGCCGGCUUAACCGGCAAGGGUCAUUUGAAACUGACAGACUAGAGUACAGCAGAGGAUAGCGGAAUUCCCGGUGUAGUGGUGAAAUGCGUAGAUAUCGGGAGGAACACCAGUGGCGAAGGCGGCUAUCUGGGCUGAAACUGACGCUGAGGCGCGAAGGCUAGGGUAGCAAACAGG
rnacentral:rRNA from 1 species